UACGUAGGGGGCUAGCGUUAUCCGGAAUUACUGGGCGUAAAGGGUGCGUAGGUGGUUUCUUAAGUCAGAGGUGAAAGGCUACGGCUCAACCGUAGUAAGCCUUUGAAACUGGGGAACUUGAGUGCAGAAGAGGAGAGUGGAAUUCCUAGUGUAGCGGUGAAAUGCGUAGAUAUUAGGAGGAACCCCAGUUGCGAAGGCGGCUCUCUGGACUGUAACUGACACUGAGGCACGAAAGCGUGGGGAGCAAACAGG
rnacentral:rRNA from 1 species